rnacentral:rRNA from 1 species
CCUACGGGUGGCAGCAGUUGGGGAUAUUGCACAAUGGAGGAAACUCUGAUGCCGCGCCUCCGCGUUAGGGCAGCCGGUCUUCGGAUUGUAAACCUCUUUCUUUUGGUAAGAAGAUGACGAUACCCAAAGAGGACGCUCCCGCUAACUACGUUCCAGCAGCCGCGGUAAUACGUAGGGGGCGAGCGUUUUCCGGAAUUACGGGGGGUAAAUGGGGCGGAGGGGGGCGGGAAAGUUGAGUGUUAAAUCUCCAGUCUUAACUGGUAGCUGCGUUCAAUACUUCUUGUCUUGAGUGAAGUGGAGGCAGCGGAAGUCCUAGUGUAGCGGUGAAAUGCGUAGAGAUUAGGAGGAACACCAGGGGCGAAGGCGGCCUGCUGGGCUUUAACUGACGCUGAGGCUCGAAAGCGUGGGGAGCAAACAGGAUUAGAUACCCGUGUAGUC